rnacentral:misc_RNA from 1 species
GAUGAAGAACGUAGUGAAAUGCGAUAAGUAAUGUGAAUUGCAGAAUUCCGUGAAUCAUCGAGUCUUUGAACGCACAUUGCGCCCCCUGGUAUUCCGGGGGGCAUGCCUGUCCGAGCGUCAUUGCUGCCCUCAAGCACGGCUUGUGUGUUGGGCCCCGUCCUCCGAUCCCGGGGGACGGGCCCGAAAGGCAGCGGCGGCACCGCGUCCGGUCCUCGAGCGUAUGGGGCUUUGUCACCCGCUCUGUAGGCCCGGCCGGCGCUUGCCGAUCAACCCAAAUUUUUAUCCAGGUUGACCUCGGAUCAGGUAGGGAUACCCGCUGAACUUAAGCAUAUCAAUAAGCGGAGGA